GGCCUGUGCCCGGCGCGUCCCCCCCACAGACCCUGGGGAGCGGGAACGGGCAUUGGGGCAGCAGCUCGGCAUUUCCCGCACCGGCCCCAACCCGCCCUGCUCGUCGCCAAGCAGAUAAAAACAAAAAGGUGCCCAUGUCUGAAGAACCCGCCUUGGAAGUCAUAGAAGGCACCGUCUUCAUCUUCCUUCCACUGUGAACUGACAUGGCCUACUUUCCAAAAGAAGACACGAGCUCCUGGACAAACGGCCUGGCCCACAUUUUUGUGCCACUCUGAUUAACCAGGGUUUCUCUGCUUGUCUCCCUCCCACCUGGCCUGCGACGCCUCCCUCCUGAUACUUGAACCUGGGGAAGCAGCCCGGCCCAACCCUGACGGCUGGGGCGCCAGGUCGCAGGACAGUAAGCAGGUUCCCGCUGGCUCCCUUUCUCCUCUGCCCAGACUUAGCUUCCCCCUCUGGAGUCUCCUCAACUUCCCGAUGGGGGCUCCACCCAGGCCUGCAUUUGCCGCAACCAAUCCACCCGGUUGCAAGUACAUCAGGUCAGUUGGAUAAGACUUUCCGCUUGUGCUCACCUGGCGUACGGAAGAGGAUAAGAAGACGGGGCAAAAGCACGUGUUCCCGACCGACAGCCCCGGGGAGGCGCCGCGGGAAACGGUGAUGGCGCGUGGGCAACUGCGAGGGCGCAGUCUUGCACUGUCGGAAAGUCUCAAGUGUCAAAAUACCAAGCGGAAGUGACAAAGGGAGCGGCUAGGGAGUCCUGCACACGCCACGUUUUUGGCUCCUUUUCCCGACUUCCUGUUCAACAUCUUCACCUGGAAGGCCGCUGAGGAUCCACACUUCCCGUGUCUAAGACCAGACAACACACACACACACACACACACACGCACACGCACACGCACAGCUGCUCUUCGUCGUUCGCAUCUCCGUAAAUGGCAUUUACAUCUGGCCAGAUGCUCACGCUACCCGCCUGGAGACGUGCCUGGCUCCUUCCUUCUCACGCACCCGUCAGCGAGCCCCGUCGGCUGCACCCCCAAAGUGUGCCCGGAAUCCAGGCGCUCGGGCACCUCGACCCGACCACGGCAUCCCAGCCAGCGCCACGUGUCGCGAACGUUACUGCCGCAGCGUCCUCUCUGCUGCAUCCCUAACCUUCCACGCUGACCCCACACAACAGCCGGAAGGAACAUUUUAAGACAUCACAAAGAUUAC